CCCCCCCCCGCCUCAGCCUCCGAGGUGCUAGAUUACAAGUAUGCCGAUGUGCCUGGCUUCUACUAACAGGGUCAGAUAACUGCAUUAUAAGAUGUCGAUCGGGGGUUGGGGAUUUAGCUCAGUGGUAGAGUGCUUGCCUAGGAAGCACAAGGCCCUGGGUUCGGUCCCCAGCUCCAGGGGGGGGGGGAGAUGUCGAUCAACACCCUCGGCCUCUGCCACAAUGCCAGUGGCUCCUCCCCUGUAAUCAAGACAAUAAACAUGUCUCCAGGUACAUCCCCAAGAGGGGUAAAAUUCACCUCCAGCGAUGCACUGUCCCGUGCCAGGCUGAUGACACUCUAUCGUGGUGACAAAUGACUGGGGGUAAGAGGACAGUUUCCUUGUAGACUAAGCCCACUCCACAGCAGCAUCCUGUGGGUGUGCUGCACAUGGCCAUCUUCCUGCUCCUCCUGCAGCCUUCUAGCCUCUCUCCUCUAAGGUCAAGUGUAGGUACUGCCUAGACUCAGGAGCCAUAGGACCAGCCCAGGGCCAAGGCGCUGGGCCUGUCUGUUCUUGGAUCACUUCCCCCGUGUCCUCACUGCCCACACAACUACCCCCAUGUCUGGCCCACCUCUCCAGCCCAGCUAAGUGUAGCAGAAAGCCCACAGCAUAACAAACCCAAUCUGUGCUCACAGCCGUAGGCCAGCCAGGCAGAGCCUUCCCAGGGACCAGGCCCCAGCUUCCAGCUCUAGAAGACUACAUUGGGCUAGCCUUCUAAACUUAGCCCUCAUGUUAGACCCACCUGCCAGCCCUGGCCCUGGGACACAACUUCCUUUUAGAAGGCCAAAGCCAGAAAGGUUUCCAGUGACUUCGCAGGGCCCAAGGGAAACCCACCCACGAGGAACGCCUUGGUCUGUGGGAACUAGAGCCCAAGAAAUGAGCAGGUCUUGAGGGUAGCUGAGAUCAUAGAUUGGGGAGCUGAGAUAGACACCCAAGUCUGUGAGGUCUCAGGGCCUCCUUCAUAAAGCACGAAUGUGAGAGGAAGCUCCCAUCAGCUGAGUGCUAGGCUAGCACACACACACACCGAGGUACCACAGAAACUGGGGUGAUGACUCAUUCUGCUAAUUCCAGCACUGGGAGGUAGGGAAGGAGGAUCAGAAGUUCAAGGUCGUCCUUGGCUUCAGUGUGAUCAACACCAGGUUCGACUACAUGAGACCAUCUAAAAAUAAACUGAGCGGGGGAAGGGCAUGGGGAAGCUGGCCGUUAGUCAGAUGCCUGAAUCCAAGCAGCAUGCAUGUUAAAAAAAAAAAGAAAAAGCCAGGCAUAGCCACACUGCCUUUGCAACCCAAGUAGAUCCUCAGGGGUUGCCAUCCAGCCGUCCAGACAGUGAGUGCCACGUUCCAUGAGAUCUGUCUCAAAAGAAAGGCCAUCAUGAAGGCUCAGUGAGCAAAGGCACUUGACCCCAGGGCCUAACGACCCAGAGCCCACUGGUAAAACAGAACUGACUCUGGUCAGUUGUCCUCUGACCUCCAUAGGUGUACCAUGGCACCCUCCCCCAAAUAAACAAAUUCACUAAAAACAGAGAGAAAAGAAGUAAGCGGUGAGGGAUGGAGAGGCUCAACACCUGGGCUCCACACAGACAGACGUUUGAGAAACACAAAUACACAC
rnacentral:sRNA from 1 species